AUCCAUAUAUUUUAAAAUAUAUGGCUGGCAAAACAAAACUGUAUUCCACUAUUCGGUCUGUAUUUCUUGAUGUUUUUAGUUCAGCAAGCACAUUUUGCACAACAUUGGACAUUUACUCGACAUUAUAAAGUCAUUUUAGGUGGACCAUAUAUGGCCAUAUAUAAUAAUAUAUUGAUCAAUAUACAGGAGUCUCUGAUUGAAUCAUCUCAGCUCUCAUAUCACGUAUGACGCGCCUACGUCACGUCGUCACAACCUGAAGCUAAAGUGGCGAGAGAGCCGUCUCGGCUCGAGCGCGGUCCGGAUUCCCCGGAUUGUAGCUCCACACAGUCGCCAGCCAGACUCCCCACCACAGUGACACAAACCAACCAGCCGCCUCGAGAGGUUGCUGAAGAGGUAUGCAGCGAUGGUCUGGAGGAAAAAAUAGUCACAUGGACUGGUGUGCAUUCCAGUACUUGAAAUGAUGCUGUUGCUCAGGCACAUCCAGGUGCGAGGAUGGGGGAGAUCCGGAUGUCGCUAAAUAAAAGAAUCUGUGAACUGCUUCACCAAGAGAAAAAGAAGUCCAUGGACAGGCCUAUGAGCCCUCUUGUUGACCUUGAGUGACUGAGGCUGCGGGCGGUCUGCCCCUGAAUUCACCUUCACUUUUUUUUUUUUUUUUAAAUAUAUCUGAAGGUGUGUGUGUGUGUGCGCGCGGGUGUGUGUGUGUGUGUGUGUGGGCGCGGGCACGCGUAUGUGUUUGUGUGUGUGCGCGUGUGUGUGCACGCGUGCAUGUGUGCCAGUGCUUUAUGUGAGGUGUUUCGCUUACUGGCCACAGCCACAGUUUUUUGUUUUGUUUUGUUUUUGUUUUAUUUGUU